AGGGGUAUAGUUCAGCUGGUAGAAUAUCGGUCUCCAAAACCGCGGGUCGGGGGUUCGAAUCCUACUGCCCCUG
rnacentral:tRNA from 1 species